rnacentral:tRNA from 1 species
AUUUCUCUAGUAUUAACGAGUACAGUUAACUUCCAAUUAACCAGUUCUGGUAACAAUCCAGAGAGAAAUA